AAUUAAAAAAGAAAGAUUACAUACACUGAGACAAGCACGGGGACGAGCAGCACAGGCUCCACUAAGUAUUUUGAAAAAUAUGGACCACCCUCUUCCUUCCACGUAGCAAACCACUUGUAAAAAGAAUCCCUGCACUUAUGCAUUUGCUAAUGCCUCUUUUUGUCUCCAUUGUUCACUCAUUCCUAAACUCAUCUAAAACAGCCAUCAAACCUAUAAAUUUUUUAAAUCUACUAGUAGAAACUCUGAACUACUGUCGAAGAAACUAGGAAUUACUCACCAUGUCUUGCUUGAGCCGAGUUUUGGCGAUUUCUUAUCCAUCGAAGCCGCUUGGUCGAUACAAUCAGGGUCGUAUCGACGCCGGAAUUAUCCAGGUUAAUCGAAGAUUAAGGUCGAACUGGCGAUGUAUGGCGUCAGAACCAGAGUCUUCCUCUUUGUCACCGUCAAUUGAUGCUGGUUCCACCGACAGAAGCGCUGCUGGAUUUUGUAUCAUAGAAGGGCCAGAAACUGUGCAGGACUUUGCAAAAAUGGAAAUGCAAGAAAUUCAAGAUAAUAUUCGUAGUCGUCGCAAUAAAAUUUUCCUGCACAUGGAAGAGGUUCGCAGGCUGAGAAUACAACAAAGAAUUAAAAGUGCUGAACUUGGUAUGAAGGAAGAGCAAGAACAUGAACUUCCUAACUUUCCAUCAUUCAUCCCAUUCUUACCUCCUUUGAGCUCAGCCAAUCUGAAGGUCUAUUAUGCUACUUGUUUUUCUCUCAUUGCGGGCAUUAUUAUUUUUGGUGGCCUUCUAGCACCUACUCUAGAGCUGAAGCUAGGGAUUGGUGGCACGUCUUAUGAGGAUUUUAUCCGUAAUGUUCAUCUACCAAUGCAGUUGAGUCAAGUUGAUCCUAUAGUUGCUUCGUUCUCUGGUGGAGCUGUUGGGGUAAUUUCAGCCUUGAUGGUAGUUGAAGUAAACAAUGUGAAACAGCAGGAACAUAAAAGAUGCAAAUACUGUCUUGGAACUGGGUAUCUUGCUUGUGCUCGGUGUUCCAGCACAGGAUCACUUGUUCUUAUAGAACCUGUCUCAACUGUCAUUGGUGGAGACCAACCCCUAUCAGCACCCAAAACGGAAAGAUGUCCGAACUGUUCAGGAUCUGGAAAGGUGAUGUGUCCCACAUGCCUUUGUACCGGAAUGGCCAUGGCAAGUGAACAUGAUCCCCGCAUCGACCCCUUCAUUUAGAGGUGCAUCAGGUGGAUUAAAUGGUUCCUAUGAAAGAAUGCAAGCGCAAAAUUGGAAAUUAAAUGCAGCUACAAAAAACUAUUCUUGUAAAGGGGACCACAAAUCCUAGCUUCGCCCAGGUAAGUGAUGGCAAGAAUGGACCACAUCAUGCCGUACGAUCAAGAAAUGGUUUUGCUGUUCUGAGAAAUCCGAGAUAUUUGUUCCGCUAGGAUUUCUUUUGUCGAAAUAUGAGUCAUUCUUGUGCAAUGAAAUAUUCUUGUAAGUCAUAAAAAAAUAAAAUAAAAAUAGCUGAGAUUAUUAUAUUUUAUAAAAAUUAAA